UUGGAUGACCAGCGGAGGGAUCAUUACCGAGUUUACAACUCCCAAACCCAAUGUGAACGUUACCAAACUGUUGCCUCGGCGGGAUCUCUGCCCCGGGUGCGUCGCAGCCCCGGACCAAGGCGCCCGCCGGAGGACCAACCAAAACUCUUAUUGUAUACCCCCUCGCGGGUUUUUUUAUAAUCUGAGCCUUCUCGGCGCCUCUCGUAGGCGUUUCGAAAAUGAAUCAAAACUUUCAACAACGGAUCUCUUGGUUCUGGCAUCGAUGAAGAACGCAGCGAAAUGCGAUAAGUAAUGUGAAUUGCAGAAUUCAGUGAAUCAUCGAAUCUUUGAACGCACAUUGCGCCCGCCAGUAUUCUGGCGGGCAUGCCUGUCCGAGCGUCAUUUCAACCCUCGAACCCCUCCGGGGGGUCGGCGUUGGGGAUCGGCCCUGCCUUGGCGGUGGCCGUCUCCGAAAUACAGUGGCGGUCUCGCCGCAGCCUCUCCUGCGCAGUAGUUUGCACACUCGCAUCGGGAGCGCGGCGCGUCCACAGCCGUUAAACACCCAACUUCUGAAAUGUUGACCUCGGAUCAGGUAGGAAUACCCGCUGAACUUAAGCAUAUCAA
rnacentral:rRNA from 1 species